UUGAAAGGGAAACGAUUGAAGUCAGUCGUACCGACGAGAAAUCAGCUUUUCGAAUGUGCAUUUGUGGGCGUAUGAGAUCUUCAUUGUUUGCAAUAUGUAUGUUUCUUUGGUGUAUUUUUUCGUAUGGUAGGUCAAUGUCGGUUUUGAUCGCUAUAAAAUGAUCGGAGGAAUGUAGCUUCGGCCUCGGUUGAAGUGUUAUAGCCUUUGGUAAAUGUGGUGAUUAAGACCGAGGAUUGCAACGAAUACCUUUUAGGCUAUCCGUCUGACCUCUGAAAGUUACUUAGGUGCCGAAAGCUUGCUUACGGUCAUUUAAGUUGACAGUCAAUAGGUUAGAACGUGAUUACAUUCGUUAAGGAUGUUGACGUA
rnacentral:rRNA from 1 species